UAAAAACUUAGGAUNAAGUAAACCAAAAGCCUUCAAAGCUUUAAACAAGGGUGUAAUCCCCUUAGUUUU
rnacentral:tRNA from 2 species